GGGCUCGUAGCUCAGCUUGGUUAGAGCAUCUGGCUCUUAACCAGAGGGCCGAGGGUUCAAAUCCCUCCGGGCCCG
rnacentral:tRNA from 1 species